rnacentral:rRNA from 1 species
UACGGAGGGUGCAAGCGUUAUCCGGAUUCACUGGGUUUGAAGGGUGCGUAGGUGGGCAAGUAAGUCAGUGGUGAAAUCUCCGGGCUUAACCCGGAAACUGCCAUUGAUACUAUUUGUCUUGAAUACUGUGGAGGUCAGCGGAAUAUGUCAUGUAGCGGUGAAAUGCUUAGAUAUGACAUAGAACACCCAUUGCGAAGGCAGCUCACUACGGGACAAUUGACACUGAGGCACGAAAGCGUGGGGAUCAAACAGG